UAUACCAAUAGCUCACUGCUAGUGGUGGGUACUUGAUCGUCAAGGAAUGAGGAUCGUCACGUUCUUCGCGUAUUCUACAAAUGUCUGGACAACGACGAUUGUUUUCUUCGAUAUCGUAGAGCCGUGUGCAUAGAUACUUGGCCAACGCACGACACACGAUCGGGUGGCACCGUUGCUCCGCUCACAUGAUUCGAGCGUCCGCAAAAAUCUGAACAUGCCGGGUACACCUCAAACCACCCGGCGCUUCUGCACAUACACCGCGGUGAGAUGAAUUCGCACAGGCUCAUUUAUCGCGGGGAAUUUAACGGUAUUGCCCCCGUGCGCUCAUUAUAGGUCGCCAUUUUAAUCCAAGUCAACAAUAAAGCACGCCAUCUAUCGAUUCUAUGUGUAGGAGGAAGGAUCGCGCCUAUGUGUGUGAUGUGAGUGUAGAAAUGGUGGGAGGGAGGGAAUGGAGAUUAAUUGGCGGGUUUUUUUGAAAAUUUACAAAUUCGCAAAUCAUAUCACGAACGCUUUUUCAAACAUUUACAUAAUUAUCUUUUUUUCUUUUUUAAUUUUUCUAUUAUUUCAUAAAUAGAAAUUAAAGUACGUUUGUAAUGUUAAAAACGCUGUAAGAAAACGUAUAUUAUGAUUAAAUAAAAUAUUAAAUUCAAUCAGGAAUGUGUGUCCCAUCUUCUUUCUAUAAAAAAGCACAAAGGUUUUUCGGAUAAUUAUCGAUAGAUCAAAUUCGCAAUAAUAACAUUUAUUAGAAUGAUAAUGUAAGAAUAUAUAUUUAUAAUCGUUAUGACAAUAAUAAUAAUAAUAAUAAUAUUAAUAAUUAUAAUAAUAGUAAACUCUACUCUGCAAUUUAGAUUAAUUUGUUAUCAAUUGUAAUAAUGAUUAUAUCUUGCAUAAAUCAUGUUAAAUUAUUACCAUAUAGUAGAGAAAGAAAAAAAGUUUAAUAAAUUUAAAAAUUUAAGUUUUAUAUUAAAGAAAAAAAAAAGAAAAAAAAAGAAAAAAGGACAGAAAAGAAAAAAUAUCUUAUCUACAUAAUGGUAUAAAGAAAAAGUAGGAUUCGACAAUAAGACACUUAGUUGAUCAUAUUGCAAAUAUCAGAUAACACAUAGCCACUGCAAUGAAAUCAAAUAAUAAUAAUAAUAAUAAUAAUAAUAAAGAAAAAAGAAAAAAAUAGUAUACACAACUUAUAAAACUUAUGAAUUAUAAUAUAUCUUUGUAGUACAUUACAAAUGUUCUCAUAUGAAUUAUCUAUAGCAUAUAUUUUAUUAAAAAGACAAUCAAGAGCGUGUUAGGAUAUUUUUAUUAUAACAAAUAAAAAAUAUUCUUUAAGCCAAGUGGUAAUAUAAAAUAGAAAUAUUUUAUUCUAAAUUGUGCAGUGGCAGUUUCAUCCCUCUUUUGAUAUCUUGCAAUAGUCAGAUAUUUCUUAUUACUCGUACUUGGCAAAACGUUUGCAUUUUACAAAUCCUAAAACCUCCAUUCAUAAUUUUUCAUUAUUAUAUAUUUUUGCAAAUUGGAACAUCAAUAAAUUUUUAUUUAAAAUAAAUAAAAGUCAACGCAAUUUAUAUGAUGGAAAUAAAUUAAUCAUUUUUUUUUUUUUCAUUGACAAUAUUGAUGCUCUUUGCAAUGAUCUUAAAAAUACUAAUAUCUGUUUACUGAUAAUGCAAUACAUGUAAAUUAUCUUAACAAUCUAUAGAAAUUAAAUAAAUAAUCUAUAAACUACAUAUUAUGAAAAUAAACAUGUAUUGAUGGUAAUUGUUGUGACCUGACUUCCAAUGAAAAAUUUGUAAAGACAGUUUUAUGAUAUAGAACAUAUUUAAGUAUUAAUAAAUAAACAAACAAUGCUUGGCAGCAUAGGAUGUGUAACUCAA